rnacentral:rRNA from 1 species
UUUGUCGUGAUUUGGGCUAUAUUACGGACCCAAAAUUACUCUUUCAAGCAUUGUUUUCGAAUAUUUUCCAUGCAUCAAAGCUCGUUAAGACUAGAUGGGGUAUCCCUACAUAGCGGGUGGGACCCACGGCGAAUGGUUCAUUCAAGUCUUCAAAAAAGAAUAUAUACGAUUGCAUUGCAUAUACUAACGGGUGCGAUCAUACCAGCACUAAUGCACCGGAUCCCAUCAGAACUCCGCAGUUAAGCGUGCUUGGGCGAGAAUAGUACUAGGAUGGGUGACCUCCCGGGAAGUCCUCGUGUUGCAUCCCUCUUUUAUGUUUAACCUUUUUUUUUUUGGUUAAAACUUUAUGACUCCAUAACUUUUACACCGG